rnacentral:snoRNA from 1 species
GACUGAGAAGGUGAGGCAGCUCUGUACCAUGCUGCCAUCACUGGUUAAGAAAAAAAAUAAAAAGAAAUAUUCC